UACGUAGGGAGCGAGCGUUGUCCGGAUUCAUUGGGCGUAAAGAGCUCGUAGGCGGCUUGAUACGUCGGAUGUGAAACCUCCAGGCUCAACCUGGAGUCGCCAUCCGAUACUGUCAUGGCUAGAGUCCGGUAGGGGCCCACGGAAUUCCUGGUGUAGCGGUGAAAUGCGCAGAUAUCAGGAGGAACACCGGUGGCGAAGGCGGUGGGCUGGGCCGGCACUGACGCUGAGGAGCGAAAGCGUGGGGAGCGAACAGG
rnacentral:rRNA from 1 species